rnacentral:rRNA from 1 species
AUAGGAUGGGCCUGCGGCGUAUCAGGUUGUAGGGGGUGUAAAGUACCCUCUAGCCAUCUACGCGUACGGGUGUUGGGAGACAUAGCCCGGAGAUGGAUUCUGAGACACGAAUCCAGACCCUACGGGGUGCAGCAGGCGCGAAAACUUGACAAUGCGAGCAAUCGUGAUCAGGGAACUCCAAGUGGCUGGGGUAAGACCCAGUCUUUUCAUAACUCUUCAAAGGUUGUAGAAUAAGGGGUGGGUAAGGACGGUGCCAGCCGCCGCGGUAAUACCGGCGCCUCAAGUGGUAGUCGCUUUUAUUGGGCCUAAAACGUCCGUAGCCGGUUUGGUACAUUCGUGGGUAAAUCAACUCGCUCAACGAGUUGAAUUCUGCGAGGACGGCCAAACUUGGGACCGGGAGAGGUGUGGGGUACUCUCAGGGUAGGGGUAAAAUCCUGUCAUCCUGAGAGGACCACCUGUUGCGAAGGCGCCACACUAGAACGGAUCCGACGGUCAGGGACGAAGCCUAGGGGCACGAACCGGAUUAGAUACCCGGGUAGUCCUAGGUGUAAACGCUGUGGACUUGAUGUUGGAGAAGCUCCGAGCUUCUUCAGUGUCGAAGCGAAGGUGAUAAGUCCACUGCCUGGGAAGUACGGUCGCAAGGCUGAAACUUAAAGGAAUUGGCGGGGGAGCACCGCAACCUGAGGAUUGUGCGGUUUAAUUGGACUCAACGCCGGGA